UUUUAAUUAGUAUAAAGAGUACACUUGCCUUCCAAGCAGAAAGUCUACAGUUAGAUUCCUAG
rnacentral:tRNA from 1 species